rnacentral:tRNA from 1 species
GAGAGUAUAGCUCAGUAGUGGAGCAUGUGUUUACCAGACACAAGAUCCUGGGUUCAAUUCCCAGCACCUCCA